GCAGAAGUCACCACCUACUGGGUCACCAGGGUUCAAGGCUUGUACUCAACCUGAGGCCAGGCUGUCUAUGCACAGCUCACCACCCCACAAAUUCCCUUAACACCCAUUCCUUUUCUUGCCCUCCACUGAUUUAUUGUCUUAUAGUUUCAAACACCCAUGGAGAUGAGGAUGAUACCUCCUCCCACUACUAAGAAAACCCAACUAAAGAAGAAUUUGUACCCCAACAAGAAUCAGCACACAACACAGAGAGUCUAGGAGACUGUGAAGUCCAGGCUCAGAAGACAGGAAAGGGUGAGGGUCACAGGAAGCUGAUAGAUUGAAAGGACAUUGAAAAUCCACAGGCAGUGAGGAAUGGUGAGAAAGAAGUCAUCUUCUGAAAGCCAGGUGUUCACCUUCACAGAAAGCAGCCAUUCCAGACCUUGAUCUUGACCUUCUGGCCUCCACAAAUGUGAAAAGCCAAAAUUCUAUUGUUUAAACUACCAAUGAUUUCUCAGAAGCAUUUGUAUUAAAUAUCUUUUUCUAUGGUUGCACAUGCUUUUGAUAUUUGUAGUCUUCAAGCAUUAAAGACAAGAGUUUACAAUCA
ensembl:lincRNA 1700092E19Rik RIKEN cDNA 1700092E19 gene